UGGGGAAUUUUGGACAAUGGGGGAAACCCUGAUCCAGCCAUCCCGCGUGUGCGAUGAAGGCCUUCGGGUUGUAAAGCACUUUUGGCAGGAAAGAAACGUCGCGGGUUAAUACCCCGCGAAACUGACGGUACCUGCAGAAUAAGCACCGGCUAACUACGUGCCAGCAGCCGCGGUAAUACGUAGGGUGCAAGCGUUAAUCGGAAUUACUGGGCGUAAAGCGUGCGCAGGCGGUUCGGAAAGAAAGAUGUGAAAUCCCAGAGCUUAACUUUGGAACUGCAUUUUUAACUACCGGGCUAGAGUGUGUCAGAGGGAGGUGGAAUUCCGCGUGUAGCAGUGAAAUGCGUAGAUAUGCGGAGGAACACCGAUGGCGAAGGCAGCCUCCUGGGAUAACACUGACGCUCAUGCACGAAAGCGUGGGGAGCAAACAGGAUUAGAUACCCUGGUAGUCCACGCCCUAAACGAUGUCAACUAGCUGUUGGGGCCUUCGGGCCUUGGUAGCGCCAGCUAACGCGUGAAGUUGACCGCCUGGGGAGUACGGUCGCAAGAUUAAAACUCAAAGGAAUUGGACGGGGUCGAUA
rnacentral:rRNA from 1 species